rnacentral:rRNA from 1 species
UACGUAGGGGGGCGAGCGUUGUCCGGAUUUAUUGGGCGUAAAGAGCGUGUAGGCGGCUUGGUAGGUCUCGCGUCAAAACCUGAGGCUCAACCUCAGUUCGCGUGGGAAACCACCUAGCUAGAGUCCGGAAGAGGAGAACGGAAUUCCCAGUGUAGCGGUGAAAUGCGCAGAUAUUGGGAAGAACACCAGUGGCGAAGGCGGUCUCUGGGACGGUACUGACGCUGAGACGCGAAAGCGUGGGGAGCGAACAGGG